rnacentral:rRNA from 1 species
GAUGAACGCUGGCGGCGUGCUUAACACAUGCAAGUCGAACGGAAAGGCCCAAGCUUGCUUGGGUACUCGAGUGGCGAACGGGUGAGUAACACGUGGGUGAUCUGCCCUGCACUUCGGGAUAAGCCUGGGAAACUGGGUCUAAUACCGGAUAGGACCACUUCUUGGAUGGUGUGGUGGAAAGUUUUUUCGGUGUGGGAUGAGCUCGCGGCCUAUCAGCUUGUUGGUGGGGUAAUGGCCUACCAAGGCGUCGACGGGUAGCCGGCCUGAGAGGGUGUACGGCCACAUUGGGACUGAGAUACGGCCCAGACUCCUACGGGAGGCAGCAGUGGGGAAUAUUGCACAAUGGGCGCAAGCCUGAUGCAGCGACGCCGCGUGGGGGAUGACGGCCUUCGGGUUGUAAACUCCUUUCGCUAGGGACGAAGCGUUUUGUGACGGUACCUGGAGAAGAAGCACCGGCUAACUACGUGCCAGCAGCAGCCGCCG